CCUACGGGGGGCAGCAGUGGGGAAUAUUGCACAAUGGGGGAAACCCUGAUGCAGCAACGCCGCGUGAGUGAAGAAGGAUUUCGGUAUGUAAAGCUCUAUCAGCAGGGAAGAAGAGGACGGUACCUGAAUAAGAAGCCCUGGCUAACUACGUGCCAGCAGCCGCGGUAAUACGGAGGGGGCAAGCGUUAGUCGGAUUUAAUGGGGGUAAAGGGAGCGCAGACGGCAGUGCAAGUCUGGAGGGAAGGCCCGGGGCCCAACCCCGGAACUGCUUUUGAAACUGUGCGGCUAGAGUGCUGGAGGGGCAGGCGGAAUUCCUGGUGUAGCGGUGAAAUGCGUAGAUAUUAGGAGGAACACCAGUGGCGAAGGCGGCCUGCUGGACAGUAACUGACGUUGAGGCUCGAAAGCGUGGGGAGCAAACAGGAUUAGAUACCCGAGUAGUC
rnacentral:rRNA from 1 species